GGAGUUUGGACCGUGUCUCAGUUCCAAUGUGGGGGACCUUCCUCUCAGAACCCCUACUGAUCGUAGGCCAGGUGGGCCGUUACCCCGCCUGCAACCUAAUCAGACGCAUCCCCAUCCCAUAGCGAUGAAUCUUUGCUUGACGUUAGAUGUCUGCUGUCAAGAACAUAGGGAAUUAAUCCGACUUUCGCCGGGCUGUGCCCUACUACGGGGAAGGUUGGAUACGCGUUACUCACCCGUGCGCCGGUCGCCAUCUAUCAAAGCAAGCUUCGAUAAUGCUGCCCCUCGACUUGCAUGUGUUAAGCCUGUAGCUAGCGUUCAUC
rnacentral:rRNA from 1 species